rnacentral:rRNA from 1 species
UACGUAGGGUCCGAGCGUUGUCCGGAGUUACUGGGCGUAAAGCGCGCGUAGGCGGCGGUGCUGGCCCGGCGUGAAAGCCCCCGGCUCAACCGGGGAGGGUCGUCGGGGACCGCACCGCUUGAGGGCGGUAGGGGCUGGUGGAAUGCCUGGUGUAGUGGUGAAAUGCGUAGAGAUCAGGCGGAACACCCGUGGCGAAGGCGGCCAGCUGGGCCGUCCCUGACGCUGAGGCGCGAAGGCGUGGGGAGCGAACAGG